rnacentral:tRNA from 1 species
GCCAGUGUAGCAUAGUGGUCUGAGUGUUGGACUAUGACUCUGGAGACCAGGAUUCGAUUCCCCGCUUGGCCA